AUUGAACGCUGGCGGCAUGCCUUACACAUGCAAGUCGAACGGUAACAGGUCUUCGGAUGCUGACGAGUGGCGAACGGGUGAGUAAUACAUCGGAACGUGCCUAGUAGUGGGGGAUAACUACUCGAAAGAGUGGCUAAUACCGCAUAAGAUCUACGGAUGAAAGCAGGGGAUCGCAAGACCUUGUGCUACUAGAGCGGCCGAUGGCAGAUUAGGUAGUUGGUGGGAUAAAAGCUUACCAAGCCGACGAUCUGUAGCUGGUCUGAGAGGACGAUCAGCCAGACUGGGACUGAGACACGGCCCAGACUCCUACGGGAGGCAGCAGUGGGGAAUUUUGGACAAUGGGCGAAAGCCUGAUCCAGCAAUGCCGCGUGCAGGAUGAAGGCCUUCGGGUUGUAAACUGCUUUUGUACGGAACGAAAAGCUCUGGGUUAAUACCCUGGGGUCAUGACGGUACCGUAAGAAUAAGCACCGGCCAACUACGUGCCAGCCGCCGCGGUAA
rnacentral:rRNA from 1 species